AGGCGGCAUGGCCAAGUGGUAAGGCAGAGGAUUGCAAAUUCUUUAUCCCCAGUUCAAAUCUGGGUGCCGCCUU
rnacentral:tRNA from 1 species